rnacentral:misc_RNA from 1 species
GAUGAAGAAACGUAGCAAAAUGCGAUAAGUAAUGUGAAUUGCAGAAUUCAGUGAAUCAUCGAAUCUUUGAACGCACAUUGCGCCCGCCAGUAUUCUGGCGGGCAUGCCUGUUCGAGCGUCAUUUCAACCCUCAAGCACAGCUUGGUGUUGGGACUCGCGUUAAUUCGCGUUCCCCAAAUUGAUUGGCGGUCACGUCGAGCUUCCAUAGCGUAGUAGUAAAACCCUCGUUACUGGUAAUCGUCGCGGCCACGCCGUUAAACCCCAACUUCUGAAUGUUGACCUCGGAUCAGGUAGGAAUACCCGCUGAACUUAAGCAUAUCAAUAAGCGGAGGA